rnacentral:rRNA from 1 species
UACGUAGGGGGCGAGCGUUGUCCGGAUUUAUUGGGCGUAAAGAGCGUGUAGGCGGCCAGGUAGGUCUGCUGUGAAAGUCCAGGGCUCAACCCUGGGAUGCCGGUGGAUACUGUCGAGCUCGAGUCCGGAAGAGGCGAGUGGAAUUCCUGGUGUAGCGGUGAAAUGCGCAGAUAUCAGGAGGAACACCAAUGGCGAAGGCAGCUCGCUGGGACGUGACUGACGCUGAGACGCGAAAGCGUGGGGAGCAAACAGG